rnacentral:rRNA from 1 species
GAUUAAGUUAUUAAGGGCGCACGGUGGAUGCCUUGGCACUAGAAGCCGAUGAAGGACGUUACUAACGACGAUAUGCUUUGGGGAGCUGUAAGUAAGCUUUGAUCCAGAGAUUUCCGAAUGGGGAAACCCAGCAUGAGUUAUGUCAUGUUAUCGAUAUGUGAAUACAUAGCAUAUCAGAAGGCACACCCGGAGAACUGAAACAUCUUAGUACCCGGAGGAAGAGAAAGAAAAUUCGAUUCCCUUAGUAGCGGCGAGCGAAACGGGAAGAGCCCAAACCAACAAGCUUGCUUGUUGGGGUUGUAGGACACUCUAUACGGAGUUACAAAGGACGACAUUAGACGAAUCAUCUGGAAAGAUGAAUCAAAGAAGGUAAUAAUCCUGUAGUCGAAAAUGUUGUCUCUCUUGAGUGGAUCCUGAGUACGACGGAGCACGUGAAAUUCCGUCGGAAUCUGGGAGGACCAUCUCCUAAGGCUAAAUACUCUCUAGUGACCGAUAGUGAACCAGUACCGUGAGGGAAAGGUGAAAAGCACCCCGGAAGGGGAGUGAAAUAGAACCUGAAACCGUGUGCUUACAAGUAGUCAGAGCCCGUUAAUGGGUGAUGGCGUGCCUUUUGUAGAAUGAACCGGCGAGUUACGAUUUGAUGCAAGGUUAAGCAGUAAAUGUGGAGCCGUAGCGAAAGCGAGUCUGAAUAGGGCGUUUAGUAUUUGGUCGUAGACCCGAAACCAGGUGAUCUACCCUUGGUCAGGUUGAAGUUCAGGUAACACUGAAUGGAGGACCGAACCGACUUACGUUGAAAAGUGAGCGGAUGAACUGAGGGUAGCGGAGAAAUUCCAAUCGAACCUGGAGAUAGCUGGUUCUCUCCGAAAUAGCUUUAGGGCUAGCCUCAAGUGAUGAUUAUUGGAGGUAGAGCACUGUUUGGACGAGGGGCCCCUCUCGGGUUACCGAAUUCAGACAAACUCCGAAUGCCAAUUAAUUUAACUUGGGAGUCAGAACAUGGGUGAUAAGGUCCGUGUUCGAAAGGGAAACAGCCCAGACCACCAGCUAAGGUCCCAAAAUAUAUGUUAAGUGGAAAAGGAUGUGGCGUUGCCCAGACAACUAGGAUGUUGGCUUAGAAGCAGCCAUCAUUUAAAGAGUGCGUAAUAGCUCACUAGUCGAGUGACACUGCGCCGAAAAUGUACCGGGGCUAAACAUAUUACCGAAGCUGUGGAUUGUCCUUUGGACAAUGGUAGGAGAGCGUUCUAAGGGCGUUGAAGCAUGAUCGUAAGGACAUGUGGAGCGCUUAGAAGUGAGAAUGCCGGUGUGAGUAGCGAAAGACGGGUGAGAAUCCCGUCCACCGAUUGACUAAGGUUUCCAGAGGAAGGCUCGUCCGCUCUGGGUUAGUCGGGUCCUAAGCUGAGGCCGACAGGCGUAGGCGAUGGAUAACAGGUUGAUAUUCCUGUACCACCUAUAAUCGUUUUAAUCGAUGGGGGGACGCAGUAGGAUAGGCGAAGCGUGCGAUUGGAUUGCACGUCUAAGCAGUAAGGCUGAGUAUUAGGCAAAUCCGGUACUCGUUAAGGCUGAGCUGUGAUGGGGAGAAGACAUUGAGUCUUCGAGUCGUUGAUUUCACACUGCCGAGAAAAGCCUCUAGAUAGAAAAUAGGUGCCCGUACCGCAAACCGACACAGGUAGUCAAGAUGAGAAUUCUAAGGUGAGCGAGCGAACUCUCG